rnacentral:rRNA from 1 species
AACGAACGCUGGCGGCAGGCUUAACACAUGCAAGUCGAACGCCCCGCAAGGGGAGUGGCAGACGGGUGAGUAACGCGUGGGAAUCUACCCAUCCCUACGGAAUAACGCAUGGAAACGUGUGCUAAUACCGUAUACGCCCUACGGGGGAAAGAUUUAUCGGGGAUGGAUGAGCCCGCGUUGGAUUAGCUAGUUGGUGGGGUAAAGGCCUACCAAGGCGACGAUCCAUAGCUGGUCUGAGAGGAUGAUCAGCCACAUUGGGACUGAGACACGGCCCAAACUCCUACGGGAGGCAGCAGUGGGGAAUAUUGGACAAUGGGCGCAAGCCUGAUCCAGCCAUGCCGCGUGAGUGAGGAAGGCCUUAGGGUUGUAAAGCUCUUUCACCGGAGAAGAUAAUGACGGUAUCCGGAGAAGAAGCCCCGGCUAACUUCGUG